rnacentral:rRNA from 1 species
AAUUUGUUUUUUAAUUGAGAAAUAGAAUGAAUGGAUUCAUUAAAUUAAAAUUUUAUUAAUUUAAUUUUUAAAAUUUUUAUUUUUAGUGAAAAUACUAAAAAAAAUUUUUUAGACAAAAAGACCCUAUGAAACUAAUAAUAUAUAAAUAAUUAUAAUUUUUAUUAAAUUAUUUUUUUGGGGAAAAAUUUAAAAAUAAUAUUUUUAAAUAUAAAUAAAAUUAUCCUAAUGGAAUAAAAAAAUAGUUCCUCUAGGGAUAACAGCAUAAUAGUUAUAAAAGAUCUUAUUAAAAUAAUUGU